rnacentral:tRNA from 1 species
CUAAGAGGAUUUGAGUGUUCAAGAUGAAGCUGCUAACUUCUAACUUAAGCGGUUAAACUCCGU